rnacentral:rRNA from 1 species
AUGCUUCUCCUAAAGACUAAGCCAUGCAUGCCUUCGAAUAAGAGGAAGCAAUUCUCUCCGAAUCUGCGAACGGCUCCGCAAACCAGUUGUAAAUCAUAGCAAGCAAGCCCGGGCUGGCCUUCACCGGCCGGUCCGGGCAACACGGAUAACCCUGGUAAUUCUGAGGCUAAUACGAGAACGCAACCCCUGGCCGACCGGGCAACUGGAAGGCUGGGAGACGUGUGAUAUCAUCGCGAGGCUAAUACCGGGAAUGGAUGCACGUUUGGACCGCGCUAAACAAGGACCGGGUUCCCAACCUCACGGACGGGGACUCGACCCUAGCGGCUCUUGCGAUAUGCUCCUGACCUAUCAACUAGAUGGCAGCGUAACGGACAUGCUAUGGUGACAACGGGUACAGAGGAUUAGGGUUCGAUCCUGGAGAGUGGGCCUGAGAGAUUGCUCAUACUUCUAAGGAAGGCAGCAGGCGCGCAACGUUCCCCUUGGGCAAUGCCCGAGGGCGUUAGGGGACAUAUGAAUGCCUGCCCUAUGGGUGGGCAAUUCAAAUGGGUUCGUUCUAAACAGCCCU